UACGUAGGGACCGAGCGUUGUCCGGAAUCAUUGGGCGUAAAGAGCGCGCAGGCGGUCGUGCAAGUCGCGUGUGAAAGCCCCCGGCUCAACUGGGGAGGGUCACGCGAUACUGCUCGACUCGAAGGCAGGAGAGGGAAGUGGAAUUCCCGGUGUAGUGGUGAAAUGCGUAGAUAUCGGGAGGAACACCUGUGGCGAAAGCGGCUCACUGGACCAUAACUGACGCUGAUGCACGAAAGCUAGGGGAGCAAACAGG
rnacentral:rRNA from 1 species